rnacentral:rRNA from 1 species
GAUGUACGCUGGCGGCAUGCCUAAUACAUGCAAGUCGAACGAACAGAUGAGGAGCUUGCUCCUCUGACGUUAGCGGCGGACGGGUGAGUAACACAUGGAUAACCUACCUAUAAGACUGGGAUAACUUCGCGAAACCGGGGCUACUACCGGAUAAUAUAUUGAACCGCAUGGUUCAAUAGUUAAAGAAGGUUGUUCUGUCACUGAUAGAUGGAUCAGCGCCGCAUUAGCAAGUUGGUAGGGUAACGGCUUACCAAGGCGACGAUGCAUAGCCGGCCUGAGAGGAUGAGCAGCCACACUGGGACUAGGACGCGGUACAGACUCCUACGGGAGGCAGCAGUGGGGAAUAUUGGACAGUGGGCGAAAGCCUGAUCCAGCAAUGCCGCGUGAGUGAUGAAGGCCUUAGGGUUGUAAAGCUCUUUUACCCGGGAUGAUAAUGACAGUACCGGGAGAAUAAGCCCCGGCUAACUCCGUG